UACAUGGGGUGCAAACGUUGCUCGGAAUUAUUGGGCGUAAAGCGCGCGUAGGCGGUUACUCAAGUCGGAUGUGAAAGCCCUCGGCUUAACUGAGGAAGUGCACCCGAAACUGAGUAGCUAGAGUACCAAAGAGGGUCGCGGAAUUCCCGGUGUAGAGGUGAAAUUCGUAGAUAUCGGGGAGGAACACCGGUGGCGAAGGCGGCGACCUGGGUGGAUACUGACGCUGAGGCGCGAAAGCGUGGGGAGCAAACAGG
rnacentral:rRNA from 1 species